CCUAGGUGAUGUGAAUCUCCAACAUGAGCCCAAGCAACAGGAGGGAUUGUGACACAUACCUGGGCCCAGUACCUAGGUGAUGUGGCUCUCUUGCUUGGGACCUGCCAAACAGGGGACUUUAAUAUACCUGGGCCCCACACCUAGGUGAUGUGACUCUUCUGCUGGGCCUCGACCAUAAGAGAGAUUGCGAUAUAUACAUGGGCCCAGCCUUCAGGUGAUGUAGCUCUUCUGCCUGAGCCAGGCUCACAGGGGGAAUUGUAAGAUUUAGCUGGACCCAGCUCACAGGCAAUGAUGACUCUCAUACCUGGACCCAGUGAAGAGGAGACAUUCUGACUCUCAUAGCUAGCCUUAAGGAAAUAGAGAAAGUGCAAGAACCACCAGGUCUUAGGGCACAUGGCCAGGACCAGGAGGUACCCAGUGAAGUGCUCUAAUGUGGUCCUGUCCCACAGCCCCUGAACCAAAUAAGGACAAGCAGAACCUGAAACCAAGGAAGGCUUGGGAACUGCAGACUCCAGGACUCUUUACUAAGACUAACAGGAGGAAUGAAGGCAAAGAUCAGAUACCUGCAGGGUUGAAACCGUACCCAGACUUUGGAAUUUUAGUGUCUCCUUCUUUACUCUGUGUCCACAGCCCUCUUUAAGAGUGGAGAGAGAAACAUAAUAGAAAUACAUGAAGAGUCUGGGUGCGGUGGCUCACGCCUGUAAUCCCAGCACUUUGGGAGGCCGAGGGGGGCAGAUCAUGAUGUCAGGAAAUCGAGACCAUCCUGACUAACACGGUGAAACCCCAUCUCUACUGAAAAAUACAAAAAAAAAAAUUAGCCAGGCGUGCCUAUAGUUCCAGCUGCUCAGGAGGCUGAGGCAGGAGAAUCGCUUGAACCUGGGAGGUGGAGGUUGCAGUGAGCUGAGAUCGUGCCACUACACUCCAACCUGGUGACAGAGCGAGACUCUGUUUCAAAAAAAAAAAAUACAUGAAGAGCCCAGCAUACUCCUGAGUUCCUCUCUCAGGAGCUCAUUCUAUUCCUGGAGGAUCAUUGUGAGCAGGUGUAUGAGGAUACCUUGAAACUGCAUGUGGCAGGCACAAUUGCAGUAGAUUACAAAUGAAAGCCCAUCUUGAUUGGACAUGAAGAAACCAUGCAAGGAUGCUUGGAGUUGGGGGCUGGAUUUGACAUGAAGGCAGAAGAUACCUUCACAAAGUUCAGAAGACCUUCAUUGCUUUCCUCACAGCAAAAUAUGAGCGAGGACAGUGCCCCUGCUGUUCCUUCCCUGGGUGGUGACAGAAAGUUGAGACACAUACAAACACUUAACAUAGUUUACUCAGCAAGCAAGAAAAUCUUGGAAGGAAGAUUCUACUGCAGAAUUUGUGCAGCAGAUAUGAACUGAAGCAUCAGCAAAACUGAAAAGUAAUGAGAGAAU